rnacentral:rRNA from 1 species
UACGUAGGGUGCAAGCGUUAAUCGGAAUUACUGGGCGUAAAGCGCGCGUAGGUGGCUAUGCAAGUCGGAUGUGAAAUCCCCGGGCUCAACCUGGGAACUGCAUUCGAGACUGCAUUGCUCGAGUAUGGGAGAGGGAAGUGGAAUUUCCGGUGUAGCGGUGAAAUGCGUAGAUAUCGGAAGGAACAUCAGUGGCGAAAGCGACUUCCUGGACCAAUACUGACACUCAAGUGCGAAAGCGUGGGGAGCAAACAGGG